AUUUAACAAUCUCUCAUUCGAAGGAGAAUUAUUCGCUCGAAUUACUCAUUUAGCAACUGUACUGUGAAAAUCGGAUACGUCAAUUGUUUGCGCGAUAUACGUGUGAUCAACUCUUUCUAUAUAAAAAUUAUUUUGUUUAAAUGUGAUUUGAAGUAUUAGGAAAAGUGAUAUAAUUAUUCUGAGACGCCUACAGAUACAAUAAACUUUGGCUCAUCUGUACGGAAUUACGAGCGUAAUGAAAUAAAAUAUAAAGCUAUGAGAAAACGGCAAUACUAAGAAUAAGCGUGAUAAAUUUUUUAGUAAAGAUGAGGAUCUUACGAGAACAUUUGUUAUUUUGCACCCUAAUCACAUUACUGAGCGGAAACGUAGCAGAUAAAUCUCCCUUUCACGAUGGUAA